rnacentral:rRNA from 1 species
AUUGAACGCUGGCGGCGUGCCUAACACAUGCAAGUCGAGCGGUAACAGGUGUAGCAAUACAUGCUGACGAGCGGCGAACGGGUGAGUAAUGCUUCGGAAUCUACCCAAUGGUGGGGAAUAACCAGCCGAAAGGUUGGCUAAUACCGCAUACGUCCCACGGGAGAAAGCAGGGGAUCGCAAGACCUUGCGCCAAUGGAUGAGCCGAAGUCGGAUUGGCUAGUGGUAGGGUAACGGCCUACCAAGGCGACGAUCCGUAGCUGGUCUGAGAGGACGACCAGCCACACUGGGACUGAGACACGGCCCAGACUCCUACGGGAGGCAGCAGUGGGGAAUAUUGGACAAUGGGGGAAACCCUGAUCCAGCGACGCCGCGUGUGUGAAGAAGGCCUGCGGGUGUAAAG